rnacentral:rRNA from 1 species
GCAUUAUACCGCGAAACUGCGAAUGGCUCAUUAAAUCAGUUAUCGUUUAUUUGAUAGUGCCUUUCCUACUUGGAUAACCGUGGUAAUUCUAGAGCUAAUACAUGCUAAAAAUCCCGACUUCGGAAGGGAUGCAUUUAUUGGAUACAGAACCAACGCCCUCCGGGGCUUUCUGGUGAAUCACAAUAACUCCGCGGAUCGCACGGCCUUGCGCCGGCGAUGGUUCAUUCAAAUUUCUGCCCUAUCAACUUUCGACGGCUGGGUCUUGGCCAGCCGUGGUGACAACGGGUAACGGAGGGUUAGGGCUUGACCCCGGAGAAGGAGCCUGAGAGACGGCUACUACAUCCAAGGAAGGCAGCAGGCGCGCAAAUUACCCAAUCCCGACUCGGGGAGGUAGUGACAAUAAAUACUGAUCCAGGGCUCUUUUGGGUCUUGGAAUUGGAAUGAGUACAAUUUAAAUCCCUUAACGAGGAACAAUUGGAGGGCAAGUCUGGUGCCAGCAGCCGCGGUAAUUCCAGCUCCAAUAGCGUAUAUUAAAGUUGUUGAGGUUAAAAAGCUCGUAGUUGAACCUUGGCCCUGGCUGGCUGGUCCGCCUCACCGCGAGCACUGGUCCGGCCGGGGCUUUCCCUCUGGGGAUCCUCAUGCCCUUCACUGGGUGUGCUGGGGAACCAGGACUUUUACUGUGAACAAAUCAGAUCGCUCAAAGAAGGCUCUCGCUCGAAUGCUUCAGCAUGGAAUAAUGAAAUAGGACGCGCGGUUCUAUUUUGUUGGUUUCUAGGACCGCCGUAAUGAUUAAUAGGGACAGUCGG